GGGGUUACAAAGUGUAACAUUAAAUCUUACUAUUAAAGGAGUUACUGGCAUGCCAGGAUAUCUGCAAAUCAUUAUCCCCAAUGCUGCUGGACCAGGUUCAUCUUGGCUGACCCACAGGAAGACAAAGAGGAACUAGAUGCCCAUGUUUGGAGCAAGAAGAGGUGGGCAUCUGUUAGUUCCUACCCUCCUACAACACCACUGAUUUCCUGAGCUGGGUCCACGGUGAGUCUGUGCUCUAAGAAGAGCUGACAUGCAGCACUGUGGACUGGCUGCUGGCGCAGAAAUACAGAGCUGAGUCCGCUGCCUCGGUGGAGUUGAUUUCCAAGCUGCAGGAUUUGCCUCCUCCCGUCCCUCUCAGACAAUGAACAGCUUGCUGUUAUCAAUCAUAGUUUCCACUGCACUUAAACAAUCAUAUAUCUGCCUCUUUAAAUUAAAAAGUUAAAUGUUGAACUUAUGCAAAAUAAUAUUUAUGAUGAAUAUGCAAUGCAUUUAGGGAAAAA